rfam:Toxocara canis scaffold1468, whole genome shotgun sequence.
GCAGCGAUGUCCGAGAGGUUAAGGAGUUUGACUUGAAAUCAAAUGGGCUCUGCCCGCGUACGUUCAAAUCCUGCUCGAAGCG